GUCCACCAGAGCACAUCCGAGUUGGUGGAUCAAUCACAUUUGGCGCGCUCGCAACCUCAGCGUGGAGAGUUCGAUUCCUGGUGAGAACCUUUGAUCCAAUAAAUGCGCAAUUUAUUGGUGGAUUAAUCACUAUGGAGGAAAGCUCUCUUGAGGCCAUGAGUUUAAAUCGGGUGGGAACCUAUGAUUCAAUAAGGGCACAACAUGCGGUUUACCUCCGCUAGUCACUGAGGGGCCGGUGGCUAGGGGUCCAGGAUUUAGUUUGGCGUAAUUGGAAAGCUGCUUGGAGGUGAACACAGGCCAACUGGGAUAUAUAGAUAUAUAUACGUCACGCAGCUGGGGGAGAAGAAGACGGAGAUACACAAUUGCCAGUUGCUUGGAAUUUAACAUAUAUACGACUCAAACAAAAGUGGCAGCUUUGGGAAGAAUUGGAGUUGGAAUAAAAUACGAGCUGGCUGCUGGGUUUUAUGAUAUAGACAAAAAGGCAGCCAAAAUUGAUAGAAAUUGGAGAGAAGAUUGCUGGCUGCUUGGGCUGAAUUUUAUAAAUAAACAACACACACAAUUUGGGGCAGUUUGGAGUAAAAGAGAAGAAAACAACCGGUUACACUCGCACAAAAGUCGAGCAAAUUUGUGGAAUUUAUCACGUUUCAUCAAUUUCUCGGUGAUUUUUUCCAAUUUUAUGUAUUUAAUUCCAAUCUUAUAUUAGGCUAAUUUUUCUCAUGUAUUGGAUGAAGAUAAAACCCGUUAUUAUUUAUUUUUCAUUCAAGACACGAGGUUUGGUUAAAUUCUUGCAAUUGUUGAUUAUUCUUGCAUGCUUAAUUUUAUUAUUUGAUUGCCAAUUAAAUAUAUAGUUGCUUGUUGUAGUGUUGGGAGGUUCACAAUAAGUUUAGAACAUUGCAUGAUUAACAUAUGUGUAAUAAAUUUUAGGAAUAAGAUUUAUCACGGGUGCAAUCUUUGAGAUAAUUGUGAAAUUGAAUGUGUUUUAUUCAUAUGAAUUCGGACUAGGAAUAGGAUCGGGUCGUGAAUAGGAUAGAUUUAAUUUGUUUUAGAAAGGAAAAUUAAUUAUAAUAGAAUUAUCGAUUGUCAAGAAUGUAAGAGCGAAACUA
rnacentral:lncRNA from 1 species